rnacentral:rRNA from 1 species
GAUGAACGCUGGCGGCGUGCCUAAUACAUGCAAGUCGAGCGGUAAGGCCCUUCGGGGUACACGAGCGGCGGACGGCUGAGUAACACGUAGGAACGUACCCCAAACUGAGGGAUAAGCACCAGAAAUGGUGUCUAAUACCGCAUGUGCUCUAAGGAGUAAAGCUUCGGCGGUUUGGGAACGGCCUGCGCAUGAUUAGUUUGUUGGUGGGUAAAAGCCUACCAAGACUACGAUCAUUAGUUGGUCUGAGAGGAUGACCAGCCAGACUGGAACUGAGAACGGUCCAG